AUUGAACGCUGGCGGAAUGCUUUACACAUGCAAGUCGAACGGCAGCACGGACUUCGGUCUGGUGGCGAGUGGCGAACGGGUGAGUAAUAUAUCGGAACGUGCCCAGUCGUGGGGGAUAACGUAGUGAAAAUUACGCUAAUACCGCAUACGAUCUAUGGAUGAAAGCGGGGGACCUUUGGGCCUCGCGCGAUUGGAGCGGCCGAUAUCAGAUUAGGUAGUUGGUGGGGUAAAGGCUCACCAAGCCAACGAUCUGUAGCUGGUCUGAGAGGACGACCAGCCGCACUGGGACUGAGACACGGCCCAGACUCCUACGGGAGGCAGCAGUGGGGAAUUUUGGACAAUGGACGCAAGUCUGAUCCAGCCAUUCCGCGUGCAGGACGAAGGCCUUCGGGUUGUAAACUGCUUUUGUACAGAACGAAAAGGUCUCUAUUAAUACUAGGGGCUCAUGACGGUACUGUAAGAAUAAGCACCGGCUAACUACGCGCCAGCAGCCGCCGUAA
rnacentral:rRNA from 1 species